rnacentral:rRNA from 1 species
CCUACGGGGUGCAGCAGUGGGGAAUAUUGGACAAUGGGCGAAAGCCUGAUCCAGCCAUGCCGCGUGUGUGAAGAAGGCCUUCGGGUUGUAAAGCACUUUCAGUGGGGAAGAAAGCCUUGGGGCUAAUACCCUCGAGGAAGGACAUCACCCACAGAAGAAGCACCGGCUAACUCCGUGCCAGCAGCCGCGGUAAUACGGAGGGUGCGAGCGUUAAUCGGAAUUACUGGGCGUAAAGCGCGCGUAGGCGGUCUGAUAAGCCGGUUGUGAAAGCCCCGGGCUCAACCUGGGAACGGCAUCCGGAACUGUCAGGCUAGAGUGCAGGAGAGGAAGGUAGAAUUCCCGGUGUAGCGGUGAAAUGCGUAGAGAUCGGGAGGAAUACCAGUGGCGAAGGCGGCCUUCUGGACUGACACUGACGCUGAGGUGCGAAAGCGUGGGUAGCAAACAGGAUUAGCUACCCUAGUAGUC